CCUUCGUAUUAUUCCAUUAGUUUGUUUUCUUGAUACUUGGUUUGUUAUCUUGUGAUAAUGUCAAAAAUGAAUAAUAUCUUAAAUACUUCCUUUCCAUGUACUAUUCUUCAAGUCCACCGCAUGCUGACUCCACAUGAGCSUGAAUUGCGUUUCUUUUACAGAGAAGUGCUGCCGGAGUCUGCUUCUUGCGAUAGUUUUCUUGAAGUCUUCGAAGUUCUCAUACAAGAACAAGUCAUAUCGGCUUACGAUGUUAAGCAAUUGAAGGAUUUUGCCUUAGCUAUUAACCAUUACGAUGUCGUAGAGUUACUAAAACUGUACGAAACGAGAGUCUGUGUACAAAUGGUGAUUGAAGGAUAUUUGGAUUUCACAUCUGGAAUCAAAACCAACCCUGUACGUGAGACUGAUUUCAUUGCACAGUACCYGUUUAACCGAAGAGGAAGCCAUUCGAGUGGCGUUAAAAUUUUACACGAAGAUGUACAAAAUGGCUUUCCACUACACGUAGUUGUCAAUAACCUCCUUCAACAAAAAUUUCCAGUUCUGAGAGAAGUGUUAACUUCGCAGACCGUGGACAGCGUUGGAGGUCGUUCAAAUUUGCUCAGAGAUCGUGUGUGUACGAUUCUCRUUCACCAGGAACUUCAAACAACUGAUGUCUGACAUUGAAGAAAUAAUGGAAAAAGUCCUGAUGAUCAGUGUUGUUCCUUGGAUGGCAGAGCAUGGUGGCCUCUUUGGCCUCGGGUGUUGCUCUGUCAUUGCAAAGCAGUAAAUCUUUAAUAGAAUCGCCCAAGUACUUAAUUUAAGCUUCAGAUGGAACCCUUAUACAUCUAUUCAUUCUGGACGUCCAGUCUUGUAACUGGACUUGCAGGUGGCUGGAUGUGAAAGGUGUUUCAAAUAAACCAUGAUUCACAUUUCAAGAA